rnacentral:rRNA from 1 species
AUGAGAGGGAGAGAGAGAGGGGGGGAAGGGGAGAGGGAGGGCUUCUACGUCGCCGCUCUCUGGAUGCAUGCCAUCCACCCACGCACGCUCGCCCCCAACCUCACCGGCUGCGCCAGGUUCGGCUGCUUCAAGGACCUCCCCGAGAUCCUCUAUCAUUUCCUCCAUGGCCCCCGCGAUGAGCGCAAGGACCAGGACGAUGUCGCCGCGGCGGCCCCGGGGGCAAGAGAGGCAAGCGGCGCUGCGUCGGCGGCCUUGCCGCCGCCGCGGCUGAGGCCGCCAAGGCCCGGCGCAAGAAGGAGGCGGAGCACACGCAGGCCGUGCUCGCGCGCUAUGACUCUGACGAGGCCUUCCACAACCUCUACGACGGCGUCGCCGACCUCUUCGCCGGGCUGCUCAAGUCGGACCUGGAGCACCUGCGCGCGGGCGACACAGCCAAGAUCGUGUUCACCGCCAAGUGGUGCCCGUCACUGCGCUCGUUGUAUGACCGCGCAACGCUGCUCUACGAGGCCAUCGCGCGCCGGGUCUCCCCGCGCGACUCGAGCCCCGAGUACCUCGCUAUCCCUGACAAGCACUACGCCUACCGCGUCCGCAAUCGGCUCCGCCCUGAGGUGCACGUGCCGCUCCGCAAGGUGCUUGAGCUCCCCGAGGUCUACAUGA